rnacentral:rRNA from 1 species
AGAGUUUGAUCCUGGCUCAGGAUGAACGCUGGCGGCGUGCCUAAUACAUGCAAGUCGAGCGAACGGACGAGAAGCUUGCUUCUCUGAUGUUAGCGGCGGACGGGUGAGUAACACGUGGAUAACCUACCUAUAAGACUGGGAUAACUUCGGGAAACCGGAGCUAAUACCGGAUAAUAUUUUGAACCGCAUGGUUCAAAAGUGAAAGACGGUCUUGCUGUCACUUAUAGAUGGAUCCGCGCUGCAUUAGCUAGUUGGUAAGGUAACGGCUUACCAAGGCAACGAUGCAUAGCCGACCUGAGAGGGUGAUCGGCCACACUGGAACUGAGACACGGUCCAGACUCCUACGGGAGGCAGCAGUAGGGAAUCUUCCGCAAUGGGCGAAAGCCUGACGGAGCAACGCCGCGUGAGUGAUGAAGGUCUUCGGAUCGUAAAACUCUGUUAUUAGGGAAGAACAUAUGUGUAAGUAACUGUGCACAUCUUGACGGUACCUAAUCAGAAAGCCACGGCUAACUACGUGCCAGCAGCCGCGGUAAUACGUAGGUGGCAAGCGUUAUCCGGAAUUAUUGGGCGUAAAGCGCGCGUAGGCGGUUUUUUAAGUCUGAUGUGAAAGCCCACGGCUCAACCGUGGAGGGUCAUUGGAAACUGGAAAACUUGAGUGCAGAAGAGGAAAGUGGAAUUCCAUGUGUAGCGGUGAAAUGCGCAGAGAUAUGGAGGAACACCAGUGGCGAAGGCGACUUUCUGGUCUGUAACUGACGCUGAUGUGCGAAAGCGUGGGGAUCAAACAGGAUUAGAUACCCUGGUAGUCCACGCCGUAAACGAUGAGUGCUAAGUGUUAGGGGGUUUCCGCCCCUUAGUGCUGCAGCUAACGCAUUAAGCACUCCGCCUGGGGAGUACGACCGCAAGGUUGAAACUCAAAGGAAUUGACGGGGACCCGCACAAGCGGUGGAGCAUGUGGUUUAAUUCGAAGCAACGCGAAGAACCUUACCAAAUCUUGACAUCCUUUGACAACUCUAGAGAUAGAGCCUUCCCCUUCGGGGGACAAAGUGACAGGUGGUGCAUGGUUGUCGUCAGCUCGUGUCGUGAGAUGUUGGGUUAAGUCCCGCAACGAGCGCAACCCUUAAGCUUAGUUGCCAUCAUUAAGUUGGGCACUCUAAGUUGACUGCCGGUGACAAACCGGAGGAAGGUGGGGAUGACGUCAAAUCAUCAUGCCCCUUAUGAUUUGGGCUACACACGUGCUACAAUGGACAAUACAAAGGGCAGCGAAACCGCGAGGUCAAGCAAAUCCCAUAAAGUUGUUCUCAGUUCGGAUUGUAGUCUGCAACUCGACUACAUGAAGCUGGAAUCGCUAGUAAUCGUAGAUCAGCAUG